rnacentral:rRNA from 1 species
UACGAAGGGGGCUAGCGUUGCUCGGAAUCACUGGGCGUAAAGCGCACGUAGGCGGAUUGUUAAGUCGGGGGUGAAAUCCUGGAGCUCAACUCCAGAACUGCCUUCGAUACUGGCGAUCUUGAGUCCGGGAGAGGUGAGUGGAACUCCGAGUGUAGAGGUGAAAUUCGUAGAUAUUCGGAAGAACACCAGUGGCGAAGGCGGCUCACUGGCCCGGUACUGACGCUGAAGUGCGAAAGCGUGGGGAGCAAACAGG